rnacentral:rRNA from 1 species
GUGGCGAACGGGUGAGUAACACGUGAGUAACCUGCCCCCGACUCUGGGAUAAGCCCGGGAAACUGGGUCUAAUACCGGAUAUGACCUCGCACCGCAUGGUGCGGGGUGGAAAGAUUUAUCGGUGGGGGAUGGACUCGCGGCCUAUCAGCUUGUUGGUGAGGUAAUGGCUCACCAAGGCGACGACGGGUAGCCGGCCUGAGAGGGUGACCGGCCACACUGGGACUGAGACACGGCCCAGACUCCUACGGGAGGCAGCAGUGGGGAAUAUUGCACAAUGGGCGCAAGCCUGAUGCAGCGACGCCGCGUGAGGGAUGACGGCCUUCGGGUUGUAAACCUCUUUCAGUAGGGAAGAAGCGAAAGUGACGGUACCUGCAGAAGAAGCGCCGGCUAACUACGUGCCAGCAGCCGCGGUAAUACGUAGGGCGCAAGCGUUAUCCGGAUUUAUUGGGCGUAAAGAGCUCGUAGGCGGUUUUGUCGCGUCUGCCGUGAAAGUCCGAGGCUCAACCUCGGAUCUGCGGUGGGUACGGGCAGACUAGAGUGAUGUAGGGGAGACUGGUACUUCCUGGUGUAGCGGUGAAAUGCGCAGAUAUCAGGAGGAACACCGAUGGCGAAGGCAGGUCUCUGGGCAUUUACUGACGCUGAGGAGCGAAAGCAUGGGGAGCGAACAGGAUUAGAUACCCUGGUAGUCCAUGCCGUAAACGUUGGGCACUAGGUGUGGGGGACAUUCCACGUUUUCCGCGCCGUAGCUAACGCAUUAAGUGCCCCGCCUGGGGAGUACGGCCGCAAGGCUAAAACUCAAAGGAAUUGACGGGGGCCCGCACAAGCGGCGGAGCAUGCGGAUUAAUUCGAUGCAACGCGAAGAACCUUACCAAGGCUUGACAUGUGCCAGACCGCUCCAGAGAUGGGGUUUCCCUUCGGGGCUGGUUCACAGGUGGUGCAUGGUUGUCGUCAGCUCGUGUCGUGAGAUGUUGGGUUAAGUCCCGCAACGAGCGCAACCCUCGUUCCAUGUUGCCAGCACGUAGUGGUGGGGACUCAUGGGAGACUGCCGGGGUCAACUCGGAGGAAGGUGGGGAUGACGUCAAAUCAUCAUGCCCCUUAUGUCUUGGGCUUCACGCAUGCUACAAUGGCCGGUACAAUGGGUUGCGAUACUGUGAGGUGGAGCUAAUCCCUAAAAGCCGGUCUCAGUUCGGAUUGGGGUCUGCAACUCGACCCCAUGAAGUCGGAGUCGCUAGUAAUCGCAGAUCAGCAACGCUGCGGUGAAUACGUUCCCGGGCCUUGUACACACCGCCCGUCAAGUCACGAAAGUUGGUAACACC